rnacentral:rRNA from 1 species
UACGGAGGGUGCAAGCGUUAUCCGGAUUCACUGGGUUUAAAGGGUGCGUAGGUGGGAAUGUAAGUCAGUGGUGAAAUCUCCGUGCUUAACAUGGAAACUGCCAUUGAUACUAUGUUUCUUGAAUUUUCUGGAGGUAAGCGGAAUAUGUCAUGUAGCGGUGAAAUGCUUAGAUAUGACAUAGGACACCAAUUGCGAAGGCAGCUUGCUACAGGGAUAUUGACACUGAGGCACGAAAGCGUGGGGAUCAAACAGG